ACGCUCACUGCGAAGGUCUGUGGCUUCACUCCUGAAGUCAGCAAGACCACGAACCCACCGGAAGGAGGAAACAACUCCGGAAGCACCACGUUUAAGAGCUGUAACACUCACUGCGAAAGUCUGCAGCUUCACUCCUGAAGUCAGCAAGACCACAAACCCACCGGAAGGAAGAAAUUCCAGACACAUCUAAACAUUGGAAGGAACAAACUCCAGACACACUAUCUUUAAGAACUGUAACACUCACCGCGAGGGUCUGUGGCUUCAUGCUUGAAGUCAGCCGGACCAAGAACCCACCGGAAAGAACCAAUUCCUGACACAAUCGUUCUUCAUGGUCUAUGACUCCAAGGUCUGAAAUGAUCUCAUUUACCCCACAUGAUAGAUGUGGCCCUUCCAGAUGAGGAGUUCAACAAGACUACAUGGUAGAGCAGCCAGAGAACCCACUGGAAAUAAGGCUCAAAAUAAGGAGUAACCACAAAAUAAGAGACAGAGAAUGCUGAUUCACUAUGCAGUGAAACAUGCCUAACGUGUCAACAGCUAAAUGCCCGGUGACAGUGUGGUUGUCUGGGCAACAGAAGAAGUCACCCACGCAAACACUUAAAGGACCAUACUUAUUUUACAAGAGGAACAGUUUUCAAUGGAAUGGAUAUUAAAACACACACCUGGAUCCCUUUACCACAGGUGCUUUGAGAGGCACCAUCAAGGACAGUGAGCUAACGCAGGAGAAUGGAGUCCCAGAAACCUAGGAGGAGAAGACAAAGUGUCAGCCUCUCGGCAUCUGCAGUGUUGCUAGGAAAAGAGCUCUGAUCCCAGGGGCUUACCCACUUCCACAGGUAGGAAGCGUCCCUGAGAGGACUGGAACAUUAGCAUAUCUCAGAUCCAUCUGCAAAACUUUUGCAAACACGGAACUCCCUCGUUCUAAUCUUAUCAGCAACUUCCAGAGCUGAACCUUGAUUAAUCUGGAUACAAAAAGGAUUGAAACGCCACAUAAUAAGCAUUAACAGGAGGGUGUUUCCUUUAUCAAUGAAGCUUGAUUUAUCCAUGAUGAUCUAGUGCAUUCUCCUCCCAAAAAUCAGGAUCAUCCUCUGCAUAUGAAGGAACAGACAAGCCCUCAGCUCUACCACUUUGGAGAGGGGGGGAUUGGACAGCAUGAGCCUUCAAUUGUAUCUCUUGGAUGACCAAGGAAGGCUGGAUUUCUGCACCUAAAAAAUGGAAGCACAAACUGUACAACAAAUACUCUCCAUUCAAGUUGAAGUUCUCAAAUAAGUUUUGAAAGGUUCACUCCAGCUACUCUGUUGACAAUGGAUUAUAGAAGACUGAACAUGGAAUCCAGGAGACCAGUCAGAAAACUUCUUCAGGAAUCCAGCACAGUCUUGGCCUGUUCUGGAGAAUGCUCCCCAUCAAAAAUAAUUGACUGGAGACAAGCCAAGUCAGGAUUCUCCCUGGGAUCAAUUUCUG
rnacentral:lncRNA from 1 species